rnacentral:rRNA from 1 species
CCUACGGGUGGCUGCAGUGGGGAAUAUUGGACAAUGGGCGAAAGCCUGAUCCAGCCAUGCCGCGUGUGUGAAGAAGGCCUUCGGGUUGUAAAGCACUUUCAGUGGGGAAGAAAGCCUUGGGGCUAAUACCCUCGAGGAAGGACAUCACCCACAGAAGAAGCACCGGCUAACUCCGUGGCCAGCAGCCGCGGUAAUACGGAGGGUGCGAGCGUUAAUCGGAAUUACUGGGCGUAAAGCGCGCGUAGGCGGUCUUAUAAGCCGGUUGUGAAAGCCCCGGGCUCAACCUGGGAACGGCAUCCGGAACUGUCAGGCUAGAGUGCAGGAGAGGAAGGUAGAAUUCCCGGUGUAGCGGUGAAAUGCGUAGAGAUCGGGAGGAAUACCAGUGGCGAAGGCGGCCUUCUGGACUGACACUGACGCUGAGGUGCGAAAGCGUGGGUAGCAAACAGGAUUAGAUACCCCAGUAGUC